GACGCUGUAGAAUGAAGACGCUUUCUUAUUUACAGUAGAAUAAGAAGAAUUAUAGAGACGGCUAGUAAUAGAGGACAUCGGACGGUUCCCGUAUUAAGUAUUUAAAGUAUUUGUUGUUUCAACACUAGCGUCGACUUAAUUUAUCGACUGUUAGCCUUUCGUCGGUGUUCUCUGUUCCAGUAUUGAGUUCAGUGGUACCUCCAGUUGGACUUUGUUACAUUUUCAAGUACUAAACACCGCGGAAGAGCAUAACAAUACACAGUAGUCUGUUGGGAAUAAAUGAAUACGUCAUCGCCAAACUUUCUAGAUGCUGAUCUGAUUGGCCGUAAUAACCGUAUAGCACAUUAACUGGUUUAAUCGAGACCAAUUAGGCCUGCGACGUCGCAACCUGCGUAGACCAAUCGCUCGUUGACAAGGAAUUCUACGAUCGCGGUGCCUGGGGUGGUUUCUCCACUUACCACCCCCAGAUGAUAUAAGCUUUUUUCUUAAUGUUUUCUUGAGUUGAGGGGUCCCAAACAGAGGAUGCAUAUUCUGUUAUUGGCCUAACCAAGAAGAUAAACAUCACAAAGCACCCCUAGAAAGUUGGCUAAAUAUAGGAACGUAUUUGAACUUCUUUGUCACAGCAAGCAAGGGAAAUGUCAAACUAAAUCUGCUCCAGGCAAUGAAGACAUAUUUUUAGGUUACUGUUUUCGUGCAUUAUUAUGUAAAUGAUGAACAAGUUGAUCUGAUUUGCUGAGCUAACAUCUGACGUCUUUAUUGCACGACUUCUUAAAGAAGGGAGAAGUGCGGCGUUUUAGAAAUAACUGCGAAUUGAUUUGAAACAUUUUAGACAGUCAAAAGAUUUUGAAACUUCAAAAGAGUUAAUGACAAUUUCAAAAAGUUAUAAAAAGAAAGUUGCAAAUAAGGAAAUUUUAGAGACAAUGAUCUCAAUAACAUCGUUGGCCAAUAACAUUAUUUAGAAAGAACUGGAUUUGACUUCAAACAUUUUGACUGUCAAAUGAUUUUGAAACUUCAAAAGAGAAAGUGUGUAAUUUAAAAUGCUACAACAAGAAAAUGGCAAAAUAGGACAUACGCUGGUCUUAGUAAUAUUGUUGACCAAUAACAUUGUAAUAUUGUUGACCAAUAACAUUGUAAUAUUGUUGACCAAUAACAUUGUGAUUUUGUUGACCAAUAACAUUGUAAUAUUAUUGACCGAUAACAUUGUUUACAAAAUCAUACUGCAUUCAAAGAUUUGCUGUAUUUGUUAUUAUUCCGUCCCUUCUACUGACCUGGCAGCGUCCUCCAUGCAGCUAAUAAAUUGAGUAACAAAUGUAUUCGGGACAAACUUAUUGUUCUCUAAAUCAAUGUCAAAGGCGUCAUCAAAUAUAAUGUGAACUGUGAAACAAAAAUGUGCACUAUUAUAUAUACUUAUAGUAAAAGUUAAAAAAAACAU